CCUACGGGAGGCAGCAGUGAGGAAUAUUGGUCAAUGGCCGGAAGGCUGAACCAGCCAUGCCGCGUGAAGGUCGGUGCCCUAUGGGCGUUAAACUUCUUUUGUGCGGGAGCAAUAAUGGUCACGUGUGGCCAGACGAGAGUACCGUACGAAUAAGCAUCGGCUAACUCCGUGCCAGCAGCCGCGGUAAUACGGGGGAUGCAAGCGUUAUCCGGAUUUAUUGGGUUUAAAGGGUGCGUAGGCUGUGAGGUAAGUCAGCGGUGAAAUGCCCCCGCUCAACGGGGUGAAGUGCCAUUGAUACUGCCUGGCUGGAAUGCGGAUGCCGUGGGAGGAAUGUGUGGUGUAGCGGUGAAAUGCAUAGAGAUCACACAGAACACCGAUUGCGAAGGCAUCUCACGAAUCCGCGAUUGACGCUGAUGCACGAAAGCGUGGGUAUCAAACAGGAUUAGAUACCCUUGUAGUC
rnacentral:rRNA from 1 species